rnacentral:rRNA from 1 species
GAUGAACGCUGGCGGCGUGCCUAAUACAUGCAAGUCGAACGCUGGAAAUCUAGCUUGCUAGAUUGAAGGAGUGGCGAACGGGUGAGUAAUACAUAAGCAACCUACCCACGAAGACUGGGAUAAUCUCUGGAAACGGGGACUAAUACCGGAUAGGUAAUCGGAAGGCAUCUUCUGAUUAUUAAAGGUUAAAAACACUGGUGGAUGGGCUUAUGGCGCAUUAGUUAGUUGGUGAGGUAACGGCCCACCAAGACGAUGAUGGGUAGCCGGCCUGAGAGGGUGAACGGCCACAUUGGGACUGAGACACGGCCCAGACUCCUACGGGAGGCAGCAGUAGGGAAUUUUCGGCAAUGGGGGAAACCCUGACCGAGCAACGCCGCGUGAGUGAUGACGGCCUUCGGGUUGUAAAGCUCUGUUGUAAGGGAAGAACGGUAGAUAGAGAAUAUCUAAAUGACGGUACCUUACCAGAAAGCCACGGCUAACUACGUG